UCGGCUCCGCGCCGCCGUGAGGCGUGGGCCGCCCCUCACCACAGUCGACUUGGAGUGCUGGCGGCGGCGGGACUCCGAGCGGGCCAGGCGGCGGACGAAUUGUAGCCCCAGUCGGGUCACGCGGCGGCGGGGCAGCAGGCAAAGGACGAGCAGGCGCGGCAUGGCGUCCAGUGAGGCGAAGUGACUCGAGGCUGAGGAGAUGGCGAGCGCGAGGAGAAGCGAGGCGCGGCACGAUGAGGCUCAGCGAAUGCGGCUGAGCCCCCACCCUCGCAUACGUUCGGUUCAGACCUCAACCAUCUUCCCACGCGUCCCAUCGGAUUACCCCUGAUGCCUGUGCCCCUCGGCUCAGUGUCUCUCCCCUGUCCGCCCUGCUCAGCACCUCCACCCCCUCCGUGUUCUUCUGGUCCCUUUCCAGAAUGAAAAUGCUGGUUACAUGAUCUAUGUGUGCAAACUGACUGUCAGUUGGUGGGCAGGAAGACCUCUC